rnacentral:rRNA from 1 species
UACAGAGGUCCCAAGCGUUGUUCGGAUUCAUUGGGCGUAAAGGGUGCGUAGGUGGCGCGCUAAGUCGGGUGUGAAAUUUCGGAGCUUAACUCCGAAACUGCAUUCGAUACUGGUGUGCUUGAGGACUGGAGAGGAGACUGGAAUUCAUGGUGUAGCAGUGAAAUGCGUAGAGAUCAUGAGGAAGACAAGUGGCGAAGGCGGGUCUCUGGACAGUUCCUGACACUGAGGCACGAAGGCCAGGGGAGCAAACGGG